UGUCAGCCGCCGCGGUAAUACGGAGGGUGCAAGCGUUACUCGGAAUCACUGGGCGUAAAGCGCGCGCAGGCGGGUUUGUAAGUUGGAAGUGAAAUCCACUGGCUUAACCAGUGAACUGCUUCCAAAACUACUUACCUAGAGUCUGGGAGGGGAAGAUGGAAUUAGUUGUGUAGGGGUAAAAUCCGUAGAGAUAACUAGGAAUAUCAAAAGCGAAGGCGAUCUUCUGGAACAGUACUGACGCUGAGGCGCGAAAGCGUGGGGAGCAAACAGGAUUAGAUACCCUGGUAGUCCACGCCCUAAACGAUGAAUGUUAGUCGUCGGUAUGCUCGUCAUAUCGGUGAUGCACUUAACAGAUUAAACAUUCCGCCUGGGGAGUACGGUCGCAAGAUUAAAACUCAAAGGAAUUGACGG
rnacentral:rRNA from 1 species